rnacentral:rRNA from 1 species
UACGUAGGUGGCAAGCGUUGUCCGGAUUUAUUGGGCUUAAAGGGUGCGUAGGCGGUUUUGUAAGUCAGUGGUGAAAUACUCCAGCUUAACUGGAGGGGUGCCAAUGAUACUGCAGAACUUGAGUACAGAUGAGGUAGGCGGAAUUGACGGUGUAGCGGUGAAAUGCAUAGAUAUCGGGAGGAACACCUGUGGCGAAAGCGGCUCACUGGACCACAACUGACGCUGAUGCGCGAAAGCUAGGGGAGCAAACAGG